GACGAACGCUGGCGGCGUGCUUAACACAUGCAAGUCGAACGGAAAGGCCCUGCUUUUGUGGGGUGCUCGAGUGCUGAACGGGUGAGUAACACGUGAGUAACCUGCCCUUGACUUUGGGAUAACUUCAGGAAACUGGGGCUAAUACCGGAUAGGAGCUCCUGCUGCAUGGUGGGGGUUGGAAAGUUUCGGCGGUUGGGGAUGGACUCGCGGCUUAUCAGCUUGUUGGUGGGGUAGUGGCUUACCAAGGCUUUGACGGGUAGCCGGCCUGAGAGGGUGACCGGCCACAUUGGGACUGAGAUACGGCCCAGACUCCUACGGGAGGCAGCAGUGGGGAAUAUUGCACAAUGGGCGGAAGCCUGAUGCAGCAACGCCGCGUGCGGGAUGACGGCCUUCGGGUUGUAAACCGCUUUCGCCUGUGACGAAGCGUGAGUGACGGUAAUGGGUAAAGAAGCACCGGCUAACUACGUG
rnacentral:rRNA from 1 species